CGGAGGGUGCAAGCGUUAUCCGGAUUUAUUGGGUUUAAAGGGUUCGUAGGCGGCUUGAUAAGUCAGUGGUGAAAUCCUAUCGCUUAACGAUAGAACUGCCAUUGAUACUGUUAAGCUAGAACAUGUUUGAAGUAGCUAGAAUGUGUAGUGUAGCGGUGAAAUGCAUAGAUAUUACGCGGAAUACCAAUUGCGAAGGCAGGUUACUAAGACAUUAUUGACGCUGAUGGACGAAAGCGUGGGGAGCGAACAGGAUU
rnacentral:rRNA from 1 species